rnacentral:misc_RNA from 1 species
CGCACAUUGCGCCCCUUGGUAUUCCAUUGGGCAUGCCUGUUCGAGCGUCAUUACACCCUCAAGCUCUGCUUGGUGUUGGGCGUCUGUCCCCGCUACGCGCGUGGGACUCGCCCUAAAAGCAUUGGCAGCGGCUCCGCCGGCUUCUCGCGUAGCACUUUGCGCUCCAUGAGGCUUCUGGCGGGCCUGCAUCCAUCAAGAACCCCCCGUUUGACCUCGAAUCAGGUAGGGAUACCCGCUGAACUUAA